AAGCUUUGUGUAUGUAAGUCGCUCUGGAUAAGGGCGUCUACUAAAUGCCUUAAA
rfam:Astyanax mexicanus chromosome 10, whole genome shotgun sequence.